GCCAGUGCGUAGCGACGAUUCUGGGAGAGGAGGUGCUCGGAGGAAAGGGCGGGGGUUGCUGAUGUAAUGGGGAGAAGUGAUUAAUCCUUCGGUUCGCCGUUUCAGCUUCCCCCCUACCCCAACCUUCACCCGAUUUUUUUGAGCUGAAAAAAAAGUGGAACGAGGGAGCCAAUCUUUGGUCCCACAAACUGCAAGGAAAAGAAAAACCCUCAACAGGAAUUACCUUUAUACCUGAUGCCCCCAACAUAAUCUCUCUCCAAGGGAAACGUGUUUUUAUUGCCUUGCGGCUGAAAAUGUAUUCUCGAUUCUCCCCCUUCUCUCUUUUGUUGUGCAUUUUUUGGAUGUGGUAAAACUGGCAGUUUAUCUGAUUAUCUGGUUUUCAGAACUUUGGGCGAUGUCUCUGAGUGUCAUCAGUUGCUCUCUAGGUUUGACAUAGAUAAUUAAGCAACUACAAAGCGUGAUAAAGCUUUUGAGAGGGAGGAAAAUGUAUUUUGGAAGGAGGGAGAGACGCAAAGAGGCGAGCCUGUGUGUUGAGUCCCAGACUUGGUGUGUGACUACAGGCAAAGUACUUCACCUUUCUAGAUGUCAGCCCCGCCCCCCUCACCUCCCAAGUUUAAAUAAGAACUUAUUUUAGACUACAUGAUCCUGUUUUCAAUUUUUAAGAGUUCUGUGAUUUUGAGAUGAUCUCUCUUUAGUCCAGAAAAAUAGAGAAACGUAGGUCUAUGUUUGUUUCUCAAAAAAAUAUUUGAGGAGGACAGCUGUUACAAAACAGCUGGAGAACUCCAAAUUUUUAUGGUGGUUAGCUAGGUGCAAAUGGGUACAAUUUUAGGUUUGUUCAAAUAAACAUAGGGGAAAAGUAAAAGUACAGGAAAAUUACGUUAUACAUAUAAGUGUGUCCAUCAUUUCUGAUUUUUCUAAAAAUUUACUUUUUUAUUUGACAAGUACUUUUUGGCUCCUUCCGUGUAUGCAUUAAUAUGUAUAUAAGGUGUUAUGGGAAAUACUAAUAAAAGGAAAAUAUUGGGCAUAAA
rnacentral:lncRNA from 1 species